AAGAACUUAACCGAAGUCACUUCAGAGCCGAAGUUCUCUCCUUCCUUUUUCCUCCUCUCUUGAUCACCAACGGUAGGCAGCCGCAGCAGGCCAGCAGCGCCUGUCGAUUAGAUGAUCAUCAAUUCAUGUCUCUCGCCCAGUCAAUUGCCAGCCUCACGAUGCCUGUCAAGCACGCACAGCACCUGAACAGUGAGAUUUGGCAUCACCUCCACUUUGUAUUCCCAAGAGGCGGCCAAUAGGAACUUUCCAUACUUCUCGCCUCGUAAGAAUUGAAUUCCGGUCUCCACCUCAAAGUACGAAUUAAAUUCUCAUUACUUAGUUACAAGGUGAUAGUUAUGAGUAACUAAAACGCACAAAAAAUUGUAACAAUCCAUAUGCUAAUAGAAAAUCUGGAACUGGUUAUCAAAUAGAAAAUGAAUUGAACAGAUAGUAACUGCUGUUUGAUAAGAACAUAGGUUUCGGUCUUCCUCAGAUGUAAGUGUCUGCCAGAUUGCUGUAUGUGUUCCUUCUCAAAGAUGGACACUCAGCUGUGACUUAUUUGUACGUCUUUUUAUGUAUGUCAAGUUUUUGUUGCAUGAA